AACGAACGCUGGCGGCAUGCCUAACACAUGCAAGUCGAACGAAGCCUUCGGGCUUAGUGGCGCACGGGUGCGUAACGCGUGGGAAUCUGCCCUUGGGUUCGGAAUAACAGUUAGAAAUGACUGCUAAUACCGGAUGAUGUCUUCGGACCAAAGAUUUAUUGCCCAAGGAUGAGCCCGCGUAGGAUUAGCUAGUUGGUGGGGUAAAGGCCUACCAAGGCGACGAUCCUUAGCUGGUCUGAGAGGAUGAUCAGCCACACUGGGACUGAGACACGGCGCAGACUCCUACGGGAGGCAGCAGUGGGGAAUAUUGGACAAUGGGCGAAAGCCUGAUCCAGCAAUGCCGCGUGAGUGAUGAAGGCCUUAGGGUUGUAAAGCUCUUUUACCCGGGAUGAUAAUGACAGUACCGGGAGAAUAAGCUCCGGCUAACUCCGUGCCAGCCGCCGCGGUAAUAC
rnacentral:rRNA from 1 species